AUGCACGCUGGCGGCGUGCCUCAUACCUGCCAGUCGAGCGAACAGACGAGGAGCUUGCUCCUCUGACGUUAGCGGCGGACGGGUGAGUAACACGUGGAUAACCUACCUAUAAGACUGGGAUAACUUCGGGAAACCGGAGCUAAUACCGGAUAAUAUAUUGAACCGCAUGGUUCAAUAGUGAAAGACGGUUUUGCUGUCACUUAUAGAUGGAUCCGCGCCGCAUUAGCUAGUUGGUAAGGUAACGGCUUACCAAGGCGACGAUGCGUAGCCGACCUGAGAGGGUGAUCGGCCACACUGGAACUGAGACACGGUCCAGACUCCUACGGGAGGCAGCAGUAGGGAAUCUUCCGCAAUGGGCGAAAGCCUGACGGAGCAACGCCGCGUGAGUGAUGAAGGUCUUCGGAUCGUAAAACUCUGUUAUUAGGGAAGAACAAAUGUGUAAGUAACUAUGCACGUCUUGACGGUACCUAAUCAGAAAGCCACGGCUAACUACGUG
rnacentral:rRNA from 1 species